rnacentral:rRNA from 1 species
UACGUAGGGUGCGAGCGUUGUCCGGAAUUAUUGGGCGUAAAGAGCUCGUAGGCGGUUUGUCGCGUCGACUGUGAAAACCCGAGGCUUAACCUCGGGCCUGCAGUCGAUACGGGCAGGCUAGAGUUCGGUAGGGGAGACUGGAAUUCCUGGUGUAGCGGUGAAAUGCGCAGAUAUCAGGAGGAACACCGGUGGCGAAGGCGGGUCUCUGGGCCGUAACUGACGCUGAGGAGCGAAAGCGUGGGGAGCGAACAGG